AAUGACAUUACGAAAUAUCCUAUGCUGCCACCAUAUUGGUUCUGAUACCACAUAAAGUCAACUUCAUAAAUAGGCCUGUAUCCAUUGCGAACAUAUUUUAUUAUUAGUCUUAAAAUGUCCAUAACAUAAAAUCAUUGCUGAGCCACAACAUUACUGCUGCACAAUGGCGGCAAAUAGCGUCCUGAGCUCAAACAACGCUAAGAGAGAGCUUACGAAUGGUCCAGACCAACCUUACGAAAGUGUGACUUACAGAAGAUAUACUUAGCGUACGAAUGUGUCGGGAAUCGUGCCAUAACAUUAAGAGAGAGGUUAAGGAAUAGGUUAAGAACUACUUAGCGAUAAGAACGUUUUGGGGAACCGAGCCCAGUUCGUUCUUGAUUCGUACACCACUUCUGCAUGUCAGAGCACAUGAUAUACUAUAAGGAGUAACGAUAUGUUUUAUGAAAUGUAGUGAAGUAAAAACCUACAAUCUUAUGCUUUGGAAUGUAGUGAAGUAAAAGUAAAGUUACUCAAAAUUAAACUA